CAUGUAAUAUGGAUUUAUCAUGGUUAUCUUUAAAUGAUUUCAUAAAUACAUUGAGAAAUUUCUAAUAUGGAAAAUACCAGUUGCUAGAAAACCCACACAAGCCGAAGCUCUUGGGACCCUCAAUGCUUUCGAGGGUAAGGAGGCGCUGGACCCAUAGUUUGAGAGCCACUGGCCUGGGGCAGCGGGAGCAGAGAGAAAAGAGGGCAGAGAUUAUGCCCCGUCGGGCUCCGGGGAUUGGGGCUGGGCAGGGCUAUGUCUCUGCCCUUGCAGGUGGCCGUGGCCUUGGCCUUGGCCUGGGUGAGGGCUGCUUGAACCACACUGCCAGGGCGUUUGAGGAGAAUUACACAUCUUCUGGCAAGAGAUACACGUGGGGCAGGAUGGUGACCACGAAGGCAAAGGCUGAGGCGGACUGAGACGGUGCCGCCAAGUACUGAAAGAACCACCCAGAAGCCCUGGGCGAGCCGAGGGAGAGCGAGAGGAAGCGGCCACUUCUGCCCUUGGCUUGAGCAGGGUCCAGCCCCAUGGGGUGACAGCCCAGGAAGUAAUGGGGCCUGAGUCCCGCUAUCCCAUCAGAAGCUGAAGAGGAGCUGGUGUGGGGGGGUGCCCAAGAAUUUAGAGCUGAACAGGGAUUCUUGUCACCAGUGUGCAAUUCACAGGACGCUCUGGGCCCCUUCCCAGGGAUGUGUUAAUUACCUCCCCCCACUGGUCCCCGCGGGCAACCAGGCUGGAAACGAGCAAAGGCCAGCUCCAGCUCACGCUGCUCCGUUCUGCCUGCGAAAACCCCUGUCCUCAGCCCCACGCUUGGCUCUAGGGCAGAGAUGUGGAAUUUUCCAGGAAAACUUCAAAAUCAGCACUGAGAGGGGAAGACAUUUGAAAAGUGAUGCUGAAGAGGAGAAAGAAAAGAAAAGGCAGGCUGGGCUUGGCCAGGGCUGCCCGGGACCCGAGGGCUGAGGAGGUGAAAACCGAGGCUGUGUGUUUUCAUCUCACACGGAGUCCCCAGAACAGCACUCAAACGUGACCCAGGCCCCAGGGCAUCCCGUCCUCCUGGGAUUUGAAGCUCGGGGACCCAGAGGUCCUGCGGCUUCUGCUGUGAGCCACAUCUAAGAGGGCCUCUCUGGAUGUCCAGCCAGCCAAAUGUCUGUGUCACAUCCCUAAUAUCCCACACCCGGAGUGGAGAAUCAGGGCGCAGUGCCCUGCCUGCACGCUUGGCACAGGUACCACGUUACAUGUUAGGGGGCCAUCAGGGAUGAUGGCAGAAAGCCCUCCGCCCUCGCAAGUCUCUGUUCUCAGAGACGUAACCGGGCAACUACAACUCGGUGGGACCGGCACUCAGACGGUGAGGCUGUGGGGACACAGACAGAGAACCCUAACUCAGGCUCAGGCAAUCUGGGAAGACUUUUGGGAGGAGGUGGCAUCGAGAGGACCCAGUCAAGGAGACAGUACAAUGUAGGCAGUAGGAGCUUGGCUCCAAGGCAGACUUGGGUUUGAAUCCUACCUCCUAGUUCUGUGAUCCUGAGCCUUGCCGUCCCCCGCCCAAACCCCCACCAAAAUCAGAGAUGUUAUUAGUUACCUGCCUCAUAGGACUGCUGAGGGGUUAAGCAUAAUUAUGCAGGUAAAAAAUCAUGAUGCGGGGCUUGGCACAUCCUAACCACUCAAUAAAUGAUACCUGUUGUAUUUAUAACCGUGCAAAGCUCUAUUCUCACCCCUGACAGGUCCACCCAGGUCAGACCCCCAGACUAUUCCACACCAGGUGGAGCUGCCAGCCCAGAGCAGGAGCAUGGAUGGAACCCUGGCCCUGUCAGCCUCAGCCCGGGCCCUCUCCUCAUACGGGGCACACGUGGGGGGAGGGGGGAGGGGCAGCCCCAGAGCCUAGACAGGGUGAUGACGGGCAGAGGGGGCACUGCCCACCUCUCCUGAGCCUGCGGAGUGCUGAGCACGACGCAGAGCUGAUCUUGAGGAGUAUUUUCCAGCACAGAAACUCCAAGUCACCUGCCUGGAAUGAAGCAGGGGAAAAAAAAAAAAAAAAAAAAAAAAUCCCACGGCCAUGCCCUCCCCUGGAAAAAAAAAAAUUCUAGGAAACAAAAUACAACGACAUCUUUUUAUUUUGUUUUUUUCAGUAAUUAUACUAAAGAUGAAAAACUCAUAAUAAACAUCUCCCAGUCCCCACCUGCUAACAGUAAUUAUAAUAGACUCAACAAUAAAUGGUAAAGCAGGGCAGAGCUGCGUCUCGGGAAUUCUCUAGGGCAUGUGGAUUAGCUCGGAAAGCCUGAAUGAUUAAAAUACACUAAUUAAAAUUUUGUGUUCCUUGGUAACUCGUCUGCCUGGGCCCCUGGUGUUGGCAAAAUGGGAAUUAACGUGACAAAAGCAACACAGAGGGUUUUUGUUUUAAAUAAAGAAAAAAAGAGAGCGAGAGAGAGGGAGAAGGGGAGACCUAUAUAAACAAGUUAGACACCAGGAGAAAAAAAAAAAAAAAAAGACGAGGCGGUUUCUCUCUCUCUCUCUUUUUUUUCUACUAACGAAAGCACGAUGUCUGGGACAGGGAAGCGUAAGAGAGAGGGUCCAGGCCUUGGAGGGGAGUCACGGGGGGACACAGGGAGCACGUGUCCAGGGGGUCAAUGCUUCAAAAUAAUUACUGGAGAGAAGGGGGUGGGAGGAAGAGACGUAGGGCCAGCCGGUGCCCACCCAGUCCGGCUUUCCAUUUUUUCAGGGCAGGUCACAUAGCCCCAACUCCCAGCCCCACGGCCAACGGGACCCUGGGAGGACGCAAGGGAGCUUCUACCCCACUGCAGUUGCACAAAAGAAAUUGAACACUUUUGAGUUGCCCUUAGCAACCUAAUUGCAUCAGUACAUUGCACACAGGAGCCAAAGUAACUGAAUUUUGAUGAAAAGACGGCGGUAAUUUACGGCAUCACAAAAUUAGUUGUCAUGGCGACGGGUUAAUUACAUCUCAAAUUAACAAUGCAAGUGUGGUGAAAUUAAAUAUAAAUCAUAUUUUCUGCAUAAAUUAUAGGGGUUGAUUAGACCGGGGCUCUGGGAGAGGGAAAGGUUGAGCCGCCACGGGCCCCAAGCUGCAUUCUGAGCUGACGAGAGAGGCGCCUGCAAGCGCGGGCGCGGAUGGGGAGCUCUUGGAGGGGACGGGGGACCGGUGGAGUCAGGCGCCAGGGCUGCGGGGCUGCCUCCCUCUGCUCCCGCUGCCACUCGCAGGCUCAGCUGGCUCCACGCAGCGCCAGGGCUGUCCCCAAAGUUUGCUUCUGUUUGGAUCAAACUUUGGAUGGGGGAGGGGUGGGCAGGCAAGAAGGAGGGACCGGCUGGUGCCUCUCAGCUGAGCGCCAGGGACAGAAGCUCUGCCUUUGCCCAUCCCUAAAGGCUCUCCCGGGUCCUGUGCCCUGAGCCCUCGGAGAACCCGCUGCAGAUGGCCAGCUUCACCUGGCUUUCUUCAGUUAAAUGGGGUCAAAUGGUUUCUGAGUCACAGGCACCUGCCUACCAGGGGACAGGCUCUGCGCCACCAAUGGGCAAACACGGUCAGGGCUGCACCAAGUGGGCAGGCUGUGUUGUAGGUGUAUCCAGGGGCAGCAGCCUCUGACCGCGGGCAGCGCGGCAGGCACCUCCAGCUGAAGAAUGUGCUUUAUUGACCCCACUCCCUCCUACCCAGCGGCAAGGCAGUGACUCUGCCUUCCUUGAAUGGGGAAGAACAGCGGGGUCAAGGGCAGAAGAGCCCCCCUGGAGUACUGCAUGGGAGUCCUCUGGGGUUCCACCUAGCAACACACUGCCCAAGUCAUGGGGACACUAAAGGGGCCGAGGCUAGAAAGUGGGCAGUGCCCCCGAGGCCCAUGCCCUGGCCCCUCCUACUUGUUGCAGCACUGGCAGCGCUUCUCGGUCCUGACACCAAGCACUACUGGACCAAGUUCAGCUUGGUCAGGCCAGGCGGCCUCAGCAGAACGCUGGUCGAUAGGUGCUUUAGAAGCAUGCAUCUCGCUCUUGUUCCUGGCCCCCGUUUCUCGCGUUCUGGAGAACAAGGGGGAGAACUCUGUGCGCACAGACCAGGGCCCCACGUGCAACCUGGACUCAGGUAUGGCCAGGCAGUACACCAGCAGUUCCAACCUUGAGCAGGCAAUGACUCACUGGGGAGGCUCCCGAUACCUGCGGAGUCCUCAGGCCCCUGCUUCAGAGGUUCUGAUUCUGGAUCUGAAGUGACCCACCAUCAAUGUUUUUAACUGGCUCCACCAGGGAAUCUGAUGUAGCCGGUCCCCGGUCCACACUUCCGAAGCACCAGCAACACUGCCAUUAGUCCCAUUUUGCAGAUGAGGAAACUGAGUCCCAGGGAGGUUAAGUCACUGCUGAAGACAGGGCAGAGCUGAGAUUCAAAGUCACCUCUGAGUUCGUGCAAUGCCCCUUCAAGACUGUGUCAGGCACCCUGCCAGGCCACGUGGGAAAGAGGGACCCAUGAACCACAAGUUGUCCUGGAGAGGUACACGGCCCAGUGGAGAUACAGCGGGUCAGGCAAAGAGCACGGCCCAAUAUGGCCAAUCCAGCACUAGGGGUAGGGACACUGGAGCACGGCAGCAAAGGUGGAGACUAAGGGACAGCAGGGACCAAGACGCACCAUCAGCUGGCUGAGGGCGGGAGGCACGUCCUCAGGGUCCCUAGGCUACCCUUCACCUGGCUCAGGUGGGAGGAAUUUCCUG
rnacentral:lncRNA from 1 species